rnacentral:rRNA from 1 species
CAAUAGCGUAUAUUAAAGUUGUUGCGGUUAAAAAGCUCGUAGUUGGAUUUCUGCUGAGGACGACCGGUCCGCCCUCUGGGUGAGUAUCUGGCUCGGCCUUGGCAUCUUCUUGGAGAACGUUGCUGCACUUGACUGUGUGGCGCGGUAUCCAGGACAUUUACUUUGAGGAAAUUAGAGUGUUUCAAGCAGGCAUACGCCUUGAAUACAUUAGCAUGGAAUAAUAAGAUAGGACCUCGGUUCUAUUUUGUUGGUUUCUAGAGCUGAGGUAAUGAUUAAUAGGGAUAGUUGGGGGCAUUCGUAUUUAACUGUCAGAGGUGAAAUUCUUGGAUUUGUUAAAGACAGACUACUGCGAAAGCAUUUGCCAAGGAUGUUUUCAUUGA